rnacentral:rRNA from 1 species
GGCUACAAUGGUUGGUACAAAGGGUUGCCAAGCCGUGAGGCGGAGCCAAUCUCAAAAAGCCAACCUCAGUUCGGAUUGCAGUCUGCAACUCGACUGCAUGAGGUUGGAAUCGCUAGUAAUCGCUGAUCAGCAGGCAGCGGUGAAUACGUUCCCGGGCCUU